GCGUGUGUAGCUCAGUUGGAUAGAGCGUUUGGCUACGAACCAAAAGGUCGGGGGUUCGAAUCCCUCCACGCGUA
rnacentral:tRNA from 3 species